rnacentral:rRNA from 1 species
ACUCCUACGGGAGGCAGCAGUGGGGAAUAUUGCACAAUGGGGGAAACCCUGAUGCAGCCAUGCCGCGUGUGUGAAGAAGGCCUUCGGGUUGUAAAGCACUUCUAGUAGGGAGGAAGGUAGUGUAGUUAACACCUGCAUUAUUUGUACGUUACCUACAGAAGAAGCACCGGCUAACUCCGUGCCAGCAGCCGCGGUAAGUACGGAGGGUGCGAGCGUUAAUCGGAAUUACUGGGCGUAAAGCGCAUGCAGGCGGCCUGUUAAGUCAGAUGUGAAAGCCCGGGGCUUAACCUCGGAAUUGCAUUUGAAACUGGCAGGCUAGAGUCUUGUAGAGGGGUUAGGAA